CCAUAGAUAAUAUAGAAGACAGCGCGCUAGCGUUUCAAGUCUUCUAUAUAUCCAUGGUCGGCACGUCUGGUAGCAUCUCUGGCUGCUGUUGAUCUUGUUUUUGGAGUAAAACACGGUGGAAGCUGAAUUAGUGAGGAUGACUCCUGCUCCUGUCAUCUCUAAGCUCCUCACACAUCUUUACCUGCACAUGAGGAAAAUCACUCCUGUAGAAUGCAGAUGUUCAGAGGGAGAUGAUGCCACAUCUGGUCCAGCUGAUGGAAGGUCUUGAAGUUCUCUGACUGGCCUCGACUGAAGAUGGUCGUCUCACUGGAUUUAAGGUUCAGAUGCUCAGUAACAAACUCCACCAAUGAGCCAACAGGGAAGCUUUAGGUUUAUUAAAUGUUGCUAUGAAGGUUUCGCUGUUUUUCUUUGUGAAUGCAAUGUGCUCCAACUGAAACUUGAAUUAGAACUUAGAAGUAAAUCCUUCCAUCUGAAAGGAUCUAGUUGCAUUAAUAACCUCAUAACAUUCUAAUUUUUAUUCCAGUCUUGGUUGGAAAUAGAAUCUCUGUAUUGAUUCAGGUAAAAACUGAACUUCACAGCAUGUUGAAGCAAAACAACCAGAUGAAAACUGUGAUGGUGUUGGAUUGUCAGACCGUAAUGUUGCAGCUCAAAGCAGCUUUUCUAGCUCAGUUCAUUCUGACAUUCAGCUAUGAAUCAACACAGCAGAUGGUGAUCCAUGCUGUGGAAGUCUCACAUCUCCUGAUUUAAUGGAGCUGCUUUGCACUUUUUACACUGUUUAUUCACCAACACUUUAUUUAAUAAAAGUCCCAUCUAGUUUUCAUGAGGAAUGUGAUGUUUUAAUUUCUCUGUGAAUAACUGCAGUCUAAUGCAACAGCUGGAAUUGUAACAUCUGUCCUGAUAUUGAUCAUGAAAUAUUUAUCAGAAUACUUAUGGUCAGCAGUCAUCCCUGAAGUUUUACAUUAAAAUCUUUACUUGUGUUGUGAACUUUGGUAAGAAGCAGAAACUUUUGCGUUGCCAUGGAUACAUGAGUGUUAAAUUCAGUCCAUGUUUCCAUUUUGGGAAAUGCAGUCCAGCAGAUGAGUUUGUUUUUACUGACAGCUACCAUUCAGUCUGAGAUAUUAAGAAUAAAUAAAGGUGCAUAAUGUGGAAAUUAACAAUUUUAUUUUUAUUUAUUUCUACAGCUGCAGGGAAAGUUCUAGACUGUGGAGGAAUUUAUUCUCACAAUCGCAGACAACAAAUAUUAUCUGAAAGUCGGGUUAUUGUUGUUUAUCAGCACAAUACAAAAAGAUUAAUGUUAGAAAUAUUCCAGUUAAGAAUAUCAUGAUUUAUGUAAAUUUACCUCAAUAAUAUGAAUGUUCAGGUUAAGAUUGUACAGUGAUAUUUAUUAUGCAAGUUUAGCUGAUUAAAGUUUAUGACUCUGCACUAAAAUAUUAUUUAAAUUGACAUUAUAAUAUUUAGGGUCAGACCCUACAGUAUUGAGAUUAAGAAAUCAAAUAUUCUAUAAAAUGUAAAUACACUGAACUCAUUUGGAUAUAUUUAAGUGAGACUCUACAAUAUUAUUUGACACAAAUCUAUCUAAAUCAAAAUUUUAAUUAUCUUUACUCCAAACAUUUACUGGACUGAUUUAAAUAUUAAAAUCACUCCUUUCUAAUCCUCUGCUGUACGUUCAAACCUGAGGCCUGAAAUAGAAACACACAAGUAUCUGAUUGAAGGAACUUCUGCAGAGUCCUGGUUCCAGAACAUGAUGAUAGAAUUAUAGACAAACUUUAACAAAAGCUGCCUGAGAGUUUACAGGUUUUUAUGUUGGAUUUCUUCAGUAAUUUAAUGAUAGUUAUCAGCAAAAAUCAAGUGUUCAUUUGAUGAACUUCAUUUCCUAAAACAUCCAGAAUUGGAGCUCAUAUCUUUGGCUGCUGUAAAGUUUCUGCUCCUUCAAAGUUCACAACACAAUGAAUGAAUUCCUAAAACACUCUCAAUGCUGGAGAGCGUUUGUGAUGCUGAAGCAGUGACCAGUUUUUCUGUUUCUUCUCUGGAGAUGCACAAUGAGGGACGUCUGCAGAGACUGAGAAAGAGUCUCACCACAUCCUGACAUGAGGAAAAAGACUUUAUUGAAGACUACAAUGAGAAAAACUAUUAGACAGCAGAUGGCUGCAUUCAAGUCUGUAGCUGCUGAAUUCAUGAAUGAAUCAUCUGGCACUAGAGAAGAAGACCAUCAAACAUCCAUGUCAGCUGAUGGAGGUCCAAGAGUCUCACCCAACAAACAACCUACAGAGUGAAGACCUCAAAUCUGAUUGGACGGCCUCCUAUUCAGCCACAUGUGUGAACAAAUGCCUCUAAGUUGAUUUGUUUUCUAAAAUAAAUCUAGUUUGAGUCCUAA